rnacentral:rRNA from 1 species
UACGUAGGCAGCGAGCGUUGUUCGGAGUUACUGGGCGUAAAGCGUGCGUAGGCGGUGGCCCAAGUCUGGUGUGAAAUCUCCCGGCUCAACCGGGAGGGUGCGCCGGAAACUGGGUCGCUCGAGUACUGGAGAGGAAAGUGGAAUUCCUGGUGUAGCGGUGAAAUGCGCAGAUAUCAGGAAGAACACCAAUGGCGAAAGCAGCUUUCUGGGACGGUACUGACGCUGAGACGCGAAAGCGUGGGGAGCGAACAGG